GAUGAACGCUGGCGGCGUGCCUAACACAUGCAAGUCGAGCGAAGCACUUUGCUUAGAUUCUUCGGAUGAAGAGGAUUGUGACUGAGCGGCGGACGGGUGAGUAACGCGUGGGUAACCUGCCUCAUACAGGGGGAUAACAGUUAGAAAUGACUGCUAAUACCGCAUAAGACCACAGCACCGCAUGGUGCGGGGGUAAAAACUCCGGUGGUAUGGGAUGGACCCGCGUCUGAUUAGCUAGUUGGUAAGGUAACGGCUUACCAAGGCGACGAUCAGUAGCCGACCUGAGAGGGUGACCGGCCACAUUGGGACUGAGACACGGCCCAAACUCCUACGGGAGGCAGCAGUGGGGAAUAUUGCACAAUGGGGGAAACCCUGAUGCAGCGACGCCGCGUGAGCGAAGAAGUAUUUCGGUAUGUAAAGCUCUAUCAGCAGGGAAGAAAAUGACGGUACCUGACUAAGAAGCGCCGGCUAAAUACGUGCCAGCAGCCGCGGUAAUACGUAUGGUGCAAGCGUUAUCCGGAUUUACUGGGUGUAAAGGGAGCGUAGACGGAUGGGCAAGUCUGAUGUGAAAACCCGGGGCUCCACCCCGGGACUGCAUUGGAAACUGUUCAUCUAGAGUGCUGGAGAGGUAAGUGGAAUUCCUAGUGUAGCGGUGAAAUGCGUAGAUAUUAUGAGGAACACCAGUGGCGAAGGCGGCUUACUGGACAGUAACUGACGUUGAUGCUCGAAAGCGUGGGGAGCAAACAGGAUUAGAUACCCUGGUAGUCCACGCCGUAAACGAUGACUACUAAGGGUCCGGGUGGCAAAGCCCAUUCCGGGCCGCCACCAACCCAAUAAGUAACCCACCUUGGGGAGUACGUUCCGCAAAAUGAAACUCAAAGGAAAUUGACGGGGACCCCGCACAGGCGGUGGAGCAUGUGGUUUAAUUCGAAGCAACGCGAAGAACCUUACCUGCUCUUGACAUCCCGCUGACCGGACGGUAAUGGGUCCUUCCCUUCGGGGCAGCGGAGACAGGUGGUGCAUGGUUGUCGUCAGCUCGUGUCGUGAGAUGUUGGGUUAAGUCCCGCAACGAGCGCAACCCCUAUCUUUAGUAGCCAGCGGCCAGGCCGGGCACUCUAGAGAGACUGCCGGGGAUAACCCGGAGGAAGGUGGGGAUGACGUCAAAUCAUCAUGCCCCUUAUGAGCAGGGUUGCACACGUGCUACAAUGGCGUAAACAAAGGGAAGCGAGACCGCGAGGUGGAGCAAAUCCCAAAAAUAACGUCUCAGUUCGGAUUGUAGUCUGCAACUCGACUACAUGAAGCUGGAAUCGCUAGUAAUCGCGAAUCAGAAUGUCGCGGUGAAUACGUUCCCGGGUCUUGUACACACCGCCCGUCACACCAUGGGAGUCAGUAACGCCCGAAGUAAAAGACCCAACCGUAAGGAGGGAGCUGCCGAA
rnacentral:rRNA from 1 species